CUCAGGAUUGGGAAUCCCAAGCCAAGGUGUCUUGCUUCAACCCCGAGUUAGGAUUCGCUGCUGUUUGAAGUGUCUUGAGAGAUCUGUGGACGUGUCCAGCUGGUUCACAUAGAGAGUUUUUUGCUUCCCAGGUUGGCUGGAUCCCCUUGCUGGAUGCUCUUCUCUGCUGCAUCAGGCAGGGUGUCUUAAUUCGGGGCUCUGGAUUUGGGCAAAGAAACAGUGCAGUGCUAGGCCCUGUGCUGGAUGUGGCCUCUCUGCGAUGUGUGUGAGUAAUGGUAGCAGAGGCACAAGAGCAGGAUGACUGUACAGGAGAGAGAGCUGCACGUGACUUGCUGGAGUGAAAAACGUAUUUGUAAAGGGAUUAAAUUAGUGCUGGGUACAAGAACGCCGCUUAGUGAAACAAAUGACUCUACUUCUUCUCAGUGGCAGGAAAAGUGACACAUCCCGGAUAACCGGCGGUCCCCGCUCCUUUCUCAGUGUCCCUGCAGGGCGGAUGGUGCCGGAGCCGGCUGAGGAACGAGGGCCAGCUCUGUCCUGCUGCAUGGGAGGCCGGUGGCAGCAGUGGUGGUGGCAAUGGUGGUGGCAGUGGUGGUGGUGGUGGCAGUGCUUCCCAGCUAUGGAGCUUGCAGCAAAGCCUCUCCUCGGUGCUGCGAGAGCACGGCGGGAGGGAGCAGGCACGUGCGAGCUGCUGGAAUGAGAUCUCACCCAGACGUGGGACCAUUUGUGAGAGUUUGGCCACCGUCCGUGUGAUGGAGCAAUGUAGCUGGGUUGUGGGUUGACUUGCGCUUGCAUCACUGCAACCCUGAACCAGAUUGCAUCUGCAGUCAUCUGACUGCAUGCCUGGACUGAUAAGUGGUGCUGUGGAAGCAUGGGUCUCGGGGGCCUUGGCAAGAUGCUUUUGCAGUAUCCCGUCCCCUCGUCAUGCUGUCCUCUGGAAGACAGAAGAAUGAGAAUCAGCGGUGUGCCAGUAUCCUGCGAACAGUUUGAGAACUACUGUGUGAAAACAAAAAGCAACCGUACAGUGUGAGCGCAGCAAGCGCGUGCUUCCCAACAACCUGCAGUCGCGCUGUGUUCCCCAUGGGAACUGAAGCUGGGUUCUCCCUCUCGUUAUCUGUGUUCCUCUCUGUUACCGUAACAAAGUUGUUGCUCUCCAGCUCCCACAUGUUCAUGCAGAAAUGGAGAUAUUCUCCACGCAGAUUAAACAAGGUCUACAAAUUCA